GACGAACGCUGGCGGCGUGCUUAACACAUGCAAGUCGAACGGUAAGGCCCUUCGGGGUACACGAGUGGCGAACGGGUGAGUAACACGUGGGUGAUCUGCCCUGCACUUCGGGAUAAGCCUGGGAAACUGGGUCUAAUACCGGAUAGGACCACUGCCUGCAUGGGUGGUGGAAAGCUUUUGCGGUGUGGGAUGGGCCCGCGGCCUAUCAGCUUGUUGGUGGGGUGAUGGCCUACCAAGGCGACGACGGGUAGCCGGCCUGAGAGGGUGACCGGCCACACUGGGACUGAGAUACGGCCCAGACUCCUACGGGAGGCAGCAGUGGGGAAUAUUGCACAAUGGGCGCAAGCCUGAUGCAGCGACGCCGCGUGAGGGAUGACGGCCUUCGGGUUGUAAACCUCUUUCAGCACCGACGAAGCGCAAGUGACGGUAGGUGCAGAAGAAGGACCGGCCAACUACGUGCCAGCAGCCGCCGUAA
rnacentral:rRNA from 1 species